rnacentral:lncRNA from 1 species
CCUUUGAAAUUGAUAAUGUUAAUAAAGCGCCGGUACCCGGUUGCAUGAGGAGAAAUUAGGUCGUUCAGAAACCAGUUUUCAUCCACUCUCUAGAUACUUCGCCUUGACGAACCUGCCCACAAGGGAGGUGUCAGCGCGUGGCCCCAAGUCUCCCGCGAGCCGGGUAGGAAGCAAUGUGGGUCACCGACUCAGCGCGCUCGGCCCUGGAGGCUGCAGGCAGCGCCACACGCACCCGCCGGGACGCGCUGCUUUCCGCGGAGAACGGGGGCGAUCUGACCGAUUCCGUCCCCCGUUUCCUGCGCAUCCUUCGCCUGCACCUCCCGCCGACCCCUCCUGGGUUCCCCUGCUCCUGCUUCCUGUGGGAGGGCAGCGGCGUGCACCGCCCUCUCGGCCCGGGAACAGCUUCCUCCAACUCCGAGCUCGUGGCUCCGGGGUGCACGCACACCCCUCGCGAACACACCCCCUGCAGCCCCUGCCAAGCCCGCGGGCCUGCAACAAGUCCGGGACAGUGGGGGGAAACUUACGGCGGUGGCGACUGGCCUCGGCACACGGCGGGCUUGUUAACUCGCCUCGGUCACCGGGAAGGCGGAGAAGCGGCUGUCUCAACCCCAGGGAGCGGCGGCGACUGCCCGAGAGGGAGGAACGCGCAUGGGACGCCGGCCGGGGAGCAGACGGCGCCGGGGGCGCUGGCUCGCGGGCAGCCUAGGAGACUUACCCCACCAAUCUGUGUACAAGCUCUUCUGGAGAAAGGUGGGCGUCCCUGGACUUCGAGUCUCCCUGGAGGUUCCCUACUGCUGCGGACACUGCCCGGUCACGGUGAGCAAACUGUCAGGGUUUCAGGAACUUCACCUUUGCUCCUGGGUCCCUCUUAACUCUCAGGAACAUUGGUUGGUGGCCUAUUCUCUACAAGCCCAGCCCAUUCUAGAGUGCUCACCGCAAGAAGGGCAUACAGAGGGCCUGCUGCUCAGGUAUGCCACUACCUGCCCUUCAGGUGCACCACUUCCUGCUGCUCAGGUAUGCCACUACCUGCUCUUCAAGUGUACCUGCUGCCUCGCAGAACAGUGCUCCAGGGUUUCUUCAGAUCUCUUCCUACAGAACUUCAAUUUUAAAACAUUAAAUAUGUCCUCUCUCUUUGCUUGGAUAUACACCUGUAUUUUUAUAAUUUACUAAGUGAAGCUUCCACAUGAGUUUUUGUCACGUUCCUAUUGCUGUGGCUUGUAGUUCAUUUUGGCAAAACGUGAUUCCUUUAAAGCCCCAACAAAGUUCCUGGAAAUGCAAACCUGUCAUGACUGAAUUUCUUCCUUUAAAGUGAGUGGGCUUAUACUCUGUGCUGACCUGAAAAGUAUAAGAAGUUAAGAUUUACAGCAUUUACACCAAAAUACAACAGUAACAACAACAAAAUGCUUAUUGAACACCUACUGUGUGUGGUUAAGGUGGGCUCCUUAACUUUUUUUUCCAAGGACCCCUUUGCCAGUUCAGUGAAAACCACGGA